rnacentral:rRNA from 1 species
AGUGAACGCUGGCGGUAGGCCUAACACAUGCCAGUCGAACGGCAGCACAGUAAGAGCUUGCUCUUACGGGUGGCGAGUGGCGGACGGGUGAGGAAUACAUCGGAAUCUACUUUUUCGUGGGGGAUAACGUAGGGAAACUUACGCUAAUACCGCAUACGACCUACGGGUGAAAGCAGGGGAUCUUCGGACCUUGCGCGAUUGAAUGAGCCGAUGUCGGAUUAGCUAGUUGGCGGGGUAAAGGCCCACCAAGGCGACGAUCCGUAGCUGGUCUGAGAGGAUGAUCAGCCACACUGGAACUGAGCCACGGUCCAGACUCCUACGGGAGGCAGCAGUGGGGAAUAUUGGACAAUGGGCGCAAGCCUGAUCCAGCCAUACCGCGUGGGUGAAGAAGGCCUUCGGGUUGUAAAGCCUUUUUGUUGGGAAAGAAAAGCAGCAGGUUAAUACCCCGCUGUUCUGACGGUACCCAAAGAAUAAGCACCGGCUAACUUCGUG